rnacentral:tRNA from 1 species
AGGGUGAUGGUGUAAUGGAAACACGCCUCUUUGGAGUCUAUCCGGGUUCGAUUCCCGGUCACCAAA